GAUGAACGCUGGCGGCGUGCCUAAUACAUGCAAGUCGAGCGAACAGACGAGGAGCUUGCUCCUCUGACGUUAGCGGCGGACGGGUGAGUAACACGUGGAUAACCUACCUAUAAGACUGGGAUAACUUCGGGAAACCGGAGCUAAUACCGGAUAAUAUAUUGAUCCGCAUGGUUCAAUAGUGAAAGACGGUUUUGCUGUCACUUAUAGAUGGAUCCGCGCCGCAUUAGCUAGUUGGUAAGGUAACGGCUUACCAAGGCAACGAUGCGUAGCCGACCUGAGAGGGUGAUCGGCCACACUGGAACUGAGACACGGUCCAGACUCCUACGGGGGGCAGCAGUAGGGAAUCUUCCGCAAUGGGCGAAAGCCUGACGGAGCAACGCCGCGUGAGUGAUGAAGGUCUUCGGAUCGUAAAACUCUGUUAUUAGGGAAGAACAAAUGUUUAAGUAACUAUGCACGUCUUGACGGUACCUAAUCAGAAAGCCACGGCUAACUACGUG
rnacentral:rRNA from 1 species